UACGGAGGGGACUAGCGUUGUUCGGAAUUACUGGGCGUAAAGCGCACGUAGGCGGAUUUGUAAGUCAGGGGUGAAAUCCCGGGGCUCAACCUCGGAACUGCCUUUGAUACUGCGAAUCUCGAGUCCGGAAGAGGUGAGUGGGAAUUCCUAGUGUAGAGGUGAAAUUCGUAGAUAUUAGGAAGAACACCAGUGGCGAAGGCGGCUCACUGGUCCGGUACUGACGCUGAGGUGCGAAAGCGUGGGGAGCAAACAGG
rnacentral:rRNA from 1 species